UUAUGAUCCCUUUUUAUAGGUUAGACAUCAGUGAAAUAGCAGUCUUUCAAAUCUUGAUAGCUAACUUUUUGUAGAAAAUAUAUGAUGGGUAGUUUAGCUGGGGCGGCUUCCUCCUAAAAGGUAACGGAGGAGUACACAAGGUAAUUUCUAACUGAUUUUUAUCAGUUUGAGAGUAUAAUGGCUUAAAAUUACUUUACUGUUAGAUUUACGAAUCGAACAGUGAUUAACGUCAGUCAUAAUGAUCCGGUGACUUUGUGUGGAAAAGUCAUCGCCAACGGAUAAAAGGUACGCCAGGGAUAACAGGCUGAUGACUCUUGAGAGACCAUAUCAAUGGGGUAGUUUGGCACCUCGAUGUCGACUCAUCGCAUCCUGGAGGUGUAGAAGUUUCCAAGGGUUGGGCUGUUCGCCCACUAAAGCGGUACGUGAGUUGGGUUUAGAACGCCGUGAGGCAGUUCGGUUCCUAUCUACCAUAUAUCGAAGAAAAUAAAUAAGGGCUGACCUUAGUACGAGAGGAGCGGGGAGGAAAUGCCUAUAGUGUA
rnacentral:rRNA from 1 species